rnacentral:snRNA from 1 species
AGAGAAUCACUUGAACCCAGAAGGUGGAGGUUGCAGUCACCCAAGAUUGUGCCACUGCACUCCAGCCUGGGUGACAGUG